UACGGAGGGUGCAAGCGUUGUUCGGAAUUAUUGGGCGUAAAGCGCGUGUAGGCGGCUAUCUAAGUCUGGUGUGAAAGCCCAGAGCUUAACUCUGGAAGUGCACUGGAUACUGGAUAGCUAGAGGACGAGAGAGGAAAGUGGAAUUCCUGGUGUAGGGGUGAAAUCCGUAGAUAUCAGGAGGAACAUCGGUGGCGAAGGCGACUUUCUGGCUCGUUUCUGACGCUCAGACGCGAAAGCGUGGGGAGCAAACAGG
rnacentral:rRNA from 1 species